AGUGUACUCAGUGUGGAAAAGACU
rnacentral:piRNA from 1 species